rnacentral:rRNA from 1 species
UACGUAGGGUGCAAGCGUUAAUCGGAAUUACUGGGCGUAAAGCGUGCGCAGGCGGCUUUGCAAGACAGAUGUGAAAUCCCCGGGCUUAACCUGGGAACUGCAUUUGUGACUGCAUGGCUGGAGUGCGGCAGAGGGGGAUGGAAUUCCGCGUGUAGCAGUGAAAUGCGUAGAUAUGCGGAGGAACACCAGCGGCGAAGGCGGCAUCCUGGACUGGUCCUGACACUCAGGAGCGAAAGCGUGGGGAGCGAUCCGG